AACAUUGUAACCUCCAUCCAUCCUCUACUAAAUGAGGACAAAAUUUGAAUUGCUAUUUUGAUUGAGUUUAUAUAUUUGCUUUGUAAACCUUUUCUAGUUUUGAUUUUCAACAGAUCUCAAUGAUUUUUUGCAGGUGGUUUUAUGAUGAAAUCAAAAAGUUAUUUCAGCCUGUUACCAGUUGAUCUUGUGUGAAAACAUGAUAAUAUGACUCCCCUUAGUCAUGCAAUUUUAUGGUGAGAUGCAUGUUAGACCCGCUAUUCGAUGUAACAUGCGACGCGCCUGAUCCCCCAUGCAAUAAUCUCUCGUUGGCACAUUUGAGCAUGAAUUCCAUGUGAUGUAAAAACUUUAGCCGAAGAUAUGAAUGUUAGCUUAGACUUUAGUUGCAUUAGUUCUUUGUUUUUGAUCUGUGCCUUUAGUUCUGGUUUUGAGCAAUUCAUUCUGUAUCAUUCUUUUUGGGUAUGCAGGUGUUUUUUUAGGUCCACUAAUCACACUGUUACCUUUUUUAAUUAGAUUAUAGCGUAGUCCCCUGCUUAGUAUGCUGGAAUUGUAUUAUAUACCGUUUGUAAAAAAGAAUAGCCAUUUCUUCUGAUAGACAUAACCUUUGAAUUUGUUCUGGGAAAACCAAUUGAAUUCAGUAGCAAAAAAAUAAUCAUUAUUUUGUAGAA